CCCUUAGAUGUCCGGGGCUGCACGCGCGCUACACUGAAGGAAUCAGCGUGCUAAAACCAUUGUCGAAAGGCAUUGGUAAACCCAUUAAAAUCCUACGUGAUUGGGAUCGGGAAUUGCAAUUAUUUCCCUUGAACGAGGAAUUCCCAGUAAGUGUGUGUCAUAAGCUCGCGUUGAUUACGUCCCUGCCCUUUGUACACACCGCCCGUCGCUGCCCGGGACUGAGCCGUUUCGAGAAAAGCGGGGACUGCUGCUGUCGGGGCUUUCGGGCCUUGGCUUCGGUGGAAACCGCUUUAAUCGCAGUGGCUUGAACCGGGCAAAAGUCGUAACA
rnacentral:rRNA from 1 species